rnacentral:rRNA from 1 species
UACGUAGGGCGCAAGCGUUGUCCGGAAUUAUUGGGCGUAAAGAGCUCGUAGGCGGUUUGUCGCGUCUGCUGUGAAAACUGGAGGCUCAACCUCCAGCCUGCAGUGGGUACGGGCAGACUAGAGUGCGGUAGGGGAGAUUGGAAUUCCUGGUGUAGCGGUGGAAUGCGCAAAUAUCAGGAGGAACACCGAUGGCGAAGGCAGAUCUCUGGGCCGUAACUGACGCUGAGGAGCGAAAGCAUGGGGAGCGAACAGG